UAUACUUUUGCAUAAUUAUAUUUUCAUAGGCCAAGCAACCACUGUCAAAAGAAGAAGGCAUAACAUCAAAUUUCAUUUUCCUUUUUCCUUCUUCCAACAUUUACUUGUUUGAGAGAACUAUACUUUUGCAUGAUUAUAUUUUCAUAGGCCAAGCAACCAAUAUCAAAAGAAGGAGGCAUAACAUCAAAUUUCAUUUUCCUUUUUCCUUCUUCCAACAUUUACGUGUUCGAGGAAACUAUACUUUUGCAUAAUUAUAUUUUCAUAGGCCAAGCAACCACUAUCAAAAGAAGAAGUAUGAUGAUUGAUUUAUUCCACUUGAUUUAUAGGCCAAGGGAACUAUACUUUUGUAUGAUGAUUGAUUUAUAUCACAAUAAGGAAAAUACAUGUAUUUAGGUUGAUUAACAGAAGCUUCGUUGAUACCACUUGCAGUUCAAGUUAGCUUUGGUACUAAGCCUUCUUACAUUUCGGAGGACUUCACCUUUACCUUACAAUUGUAGUCUUGGAGAUGUCGUAGGUCUUGUCUUGUUAUCCUUCUAUAGUAGUAGAGGCUUCAUCAAUGGACAAAGUUGAGUAGUUUUUUAUAUGUAUCUUCUUUGAGUUGUUUUUACAAACUCUGAGUUUAUGUAUUGAGUGUUUUUCAAAUUUUUUAAAGAUGGAUUAUUUGAGUUAUUAAAUUUAAUUCAGUUUUUAAGAUUUUGUGUGCUUGAGUUAGUCUUCCGCUUGUAGUUAGCCAGGAUGAGGAUUCGCUUAGGACCAACAAUGGUUCUCGAGUGUCGAUUACGUACAGGGUGUACACUUGGAUCGUAAAUGUUAUAAGAUGAUGUUAUAUCAUUGUGGAAUCCAUCCUAAACCCUAUAAUAGACCUUAAGUCAUAAAUCUACCCACUUCAAACUCAUUCUCCUAUUUCCCCAAAACUAAACCAAAUUCAAGGUCUUCAAAUCAACAUUCAUCUUGGGAUUUAAGUAGAAAUGUAUAUGGGUAUUCACCCAUGGAGUCCAUUCCUCCAUAGGUUCACCAAGGUUUUCAAUUUCAAAUGAUCAAGUUCGGGUUCUUCUUAAGUUUCCCUUUGAUUUCAUCCAAUUAUGAGUGUAAUUGUUGUUUCAAUCUUCAAUUUCAUGAUUUAAUGUAAUAAUAAGAUAUUUAGUUGAAAUCAUAUGGACCCAAGCAUGAUUCAUGAUUUUUCAACUA